GCUUAUGUUACUGCUGCUGCCCAGCCUCGAGGGAUCGACUCGCGGCGCCGGCUCUGGGGCAAGAACCCAACAUUCUGGAGGAUGGGUUCCAUAAAAAGGGGAUUAGACGAGGAAUUCUCAGUAUUGCAACUGAUCGCACUGGACAAUACCUUU